rnacentral:misc_RNA from 1 species
GAUGAAGAACGCAGCGAAAUGCGAUAAGUAAUGUGAAUUGCAGAAUUCAGUGAAUCAUCGAAUCUUUGAACGCACAUUGCGCCCGCCAGCAUUCUGGCGGGCAUGCCUGUUCGAGCGUCAUUUCAACCCUCGAGCCGCCCCGGGGGCCUCGGUGUUGGGGGACGGCACACCAGCCGCCCCCGAAAUGCAGUGGCGACCCCGCCGCAGCCUCCCCUGCGUAGUAGCACACACCUCGCACCGGAGCGCGGAGGCGGUCACGCCGUAAAACGCCCAACUUUCUUAGAGUUGACCUCGGAUCAGGUAGGAAUACCCGCUGAACUUAAGCAUAUCAAUAAGCGGAGGA